AGGGCAGUGCGGCGUGCUAUACAUGCAGUCGAGCGAAUGGAUUAAGAGCUUGCUCUUAUGAAGUUAGCGGCGGACGGGUGAGUAACACGUGGGUAACCUGCCCAUAAGACUGGGAUAACUCCGGGAAACCGGGGCUAAUACCGGAUAACAUUUUGAACCGCAUGGUUCGAAAUUGAAAGGCGGCUUCGGCUGUCACUUAUGGAUGGACCCGCGUCGCAUUAGCUAGUUGGUGAGGUAACGGCUCACCAAGGCAACGAUGCGUAGCCGACCUGAGAGGGUGAUCGGCCACACUGGGACUGAGACACGGCCCAGACUCCUACGGGAGGCAGCAGUAGGGAAUCUUCCGCAAUGGACGAAAGUCUGACGGAGCAACGCCGCGUGAGUGAUGAAGGCUUUCGGG
rnacentral:rRNA from 1 species